rnacentral:rRNA from 1 species
UGGGGAAUAAUGCACAAUGGGCGCAAGCCUGAUGCAGCCAUGCCGCGUGUAUGAAGAAGGCCUUCGGGUUGUAAAGUACUUUCAGCGGGGAGGAAGGCGAUAAGGUUAAUAACCUUGUCGAUUGACGUUACCCGCAGAAGAAGCACCGGCUAACUCCGUGCCAGCAGCCGCGGUAAUACGGAGGGUGCAAGCGUUAAUCGGAAUUACUGGGCGUAAAGCGCACGCAGGCGGUCUGUCAAGUCGGAUGUGAAAUCCCCGGGCUCAACCUGGGAACUGCAUUCGAAACUGGCAGGCUAGAGUCUUGUAGAGGGGGGUAGAAUUCCAGGUGUAGCGGUGAAAUGCGUAGAGAUCUGGAGGAAUACCGGUGGCGAAGGCGGCCCCCUGGACAAAGACUGACGCUCAGGUGCGAAAGCGUGGGGAGCAAACA